AUGAGUACAGGGAAGUCACGGAAGCCAUUGAUUCUAGACAGUGCAGAGCCACGGAGGCCGCGGCCCAGAGUCAGAGUCGGAGUCAUGGUGACCAGCUGCAAGCAUCCGCGUUGCGUCCUCCUGGGGAAGAGGAAAGACUCGGUUGGAGCCGGCAGUUUCCAACUCCCUGCAGGUCAUUUGGAGUUCGGUGAGACCUGGGAAGAAUGUGCCCAAAGGGAAAUCUGGGAAGAAGCAGCUCUUCACCUGAAAAAUGUUAGCUUUGCCUCAGUUGUGAAUUCUUUCAUUGAGAAGGAGAAUUACCAUUACGUUACUAUAUUAGUGAAAGGAGAAGUGGAUGUGACUCAUGAUUCAGAACCAAAGAAUGUAGAACCUGAAAAAACUGAAAGUUGGGAGUGGGUUCCUUGGGAAGAAUUUCCUCCUCUGGACCAGCUUUUCUGGGGACUGUGUUGUUUAAAAGAACAAGGCUAUGAUCCAUUUAAAGAAGAUCUGAACCAUCUGGUGGUAUACAAAGGAAAUCAUCUCUAGGUGGCCAAGAAGAUUUCUUGAUUUUCUUUAAAAACACAAGAAUAAGGUCUGGUUAGGGAAUGAAAUAUGUCUACAUUUCAGAACAACUCCAUUUUAUCUAAAAAAGAUCUUAUGAUCGCCAGUUUAUUUGCAAUCUCUUAAUGUACCCACCACCCUUUCAGCCAGUACUUGAGAAAAUUUUUCUGAAAUAUGUCAUUGAAUUGUAUUCCAGACACAGAAUAUAUGAUAAAUACUGAUAUUAUGGGUGAUCUGCUUUCCAUAUUUACCUAUGAUAUUUACUGUGCAGUUUGUCAUUACUAGCUUGCAUGGAGUAGGAUGCAGUAGAAUUUGCCUUAGUGUUUCUGUUCAAAUAGAGACCUGAAUUCAAAUAUUGUAGUUUAGGUUCAAACACAGUAUGCCUGUUGCAAAAUUUACCAAAUUUAUUGAUUACCUCUUUUAUUAAAGAAAUGUUGGGGAGAAGGUAAUAAAUAUAUUGUGACAAUCUUUGCAACUUACAGGGAAUAGGACAGGUCAUUAGGGUAUAUUUCCCAGGUUUCCAAUUGAGAACCUAAACCAAGAGAAGUGAGACGAACCAUCUGAUAUCUGUAUCCUCCUAUUAACAGGCUGUGUGAUGUUGAGUUUCUCACUUACUCUCUCUGAGGUCCAGGGUCCUUAUAUGUAAAAUGAAGAGAUUCGUCUAGAGCAUUGGUUCUCAAAGUGUGGUCAGCGGUCCUCAAGAGCCUUUCAAGGGUAUUCUAGGUCAAAGCUGUUUUUAUAACACUUAGACAUCAUUUCAUCAUUUAUAGUUUUUCCUUUUUUUUUUAUUUGAGAAGGAGUCUUGCUCUGUUGCAGUGGCACGAUCUCAGUUCAUUGCAGCCUCCGCCUCCUGGGUUCAAGCAAUUCUCCUACCUCAGCUUCCUGAGUAGCUGGGAUUACAGGCACCCACUACCACACCUGGCUAAUUUUUGUAUUUGUAGUGGAGACGGGGUUUCACCAUGUUGGCCAGGCUGGUCUGGAACUCUGGAGCUCAAGUGAUCUGCCCACCUCAGCCUCCCAAAAUGCUUACAGGUGUGAGCCACCACGCCUGGCCAUCAUUUAUCUUUUUCACUCAUUUUUCUCAUGAGUGUGCAGAGGAGUUUUUGAGAGGCUAUCUGGUGUGAUAUUGUAAUAGACUGAAUGCAAAAGCAGAUAUGAGAAUCCAGCUUUCGUCUGUCAUCAGACAUUGAAGAGAUUUGGAGAAAUGUAAAGCAGCAGUACUCUUCUCACUAAUGAUUUUUGUUGGUGGUGGUUAGAAAAAUGGUUAUUUUUUAGUGGGUUUUAAUAUGUGAAAAAAACAAAAAUAGC